rnacentral:rRNA from 1 species
AGCAGCUUCUCGGCACUCAUCAGUGCAGCCAUUAAAAAAAGCAAUCCACACCAAGAAUCCCCACCGAGAGCUACCCAUUGUGUGGACGUUAUCCACGUUGCCAUUCCUCCCAGCGGCGCUGCUAUCCUUCCUCUUAUCCAUCCAUCCGGCCGUCCAUGAGCUCCUCCCAUGGAGCUGCACGAGCGCCCGAGCCUCCCCGUGCCGCCUGCGUCGGCGAGCACCAGCAGCAAGCCGCGCCGCCACCUGCCUCUGCUCCCUUCUCCUUUUUCCUCCUCCUUCCUCUUUCUUCUCUCUCUCUUAACCCCCUCUUUCUUCUCGUUGCUACAGGACCACGAGCUGCCAUGGAUGUUGCAUCGAGCUCAAGUCCAACAGUCCAACCCUAGGAGCCGCGCCCUCCUCAACCCUGUCCAGAUCCAGGCCGUCCCUGUCGGAUCCAUGUCGCCCCGCCGCAAGUCCCUGGAGAGUUGCCGCCGCACUUUCUUCUUCCAACGCGAGGGAGCAGCGCUCAAGCGCAGCGACGACCGCUCGCCAGGAUGCGUUGACCCGCAAGCCCCCCGCUCGCCUGGACACUCUGCUCGUCGCGUUAACCGCACUGGUUCGCGCGUGGCACGCAUCACACCUAGCCACUGCACGCCCGCUCGCCUGCACGUUGCGCCGAGGGCCCAGCCCCAGUUGCUCAUCCGCAUCGAGACCGAAGGAGACGAACGCUUGCCUCCUGUUCAUCUACGCAUCCACGACCGAGGACGAAGCCGUAAGCUCGCUCCAACCUCCCCGCCCCUGAUCUCACACCUCUCCGCGGCUGGGCUGUUCGUGGCAGUGGGGCGGCGGCUGGGCUGUGUUUUAAGGGGGGCCACGCCGAGAUCCAGCCUCCUGCCUCUCGCGCCUCAAACAAGCUUCGCUCCGGUGUCCGUCGAGUGCACGCCGUGCUCCAGCCGGUGCCCCGCCUCGGCGCGGACGCCCGCCGCAGCGCCGGCGGCGCGUGCCCGGCGGUGGAGAACGGCAUGAUAAGCGGCGAGAUGCGCGGUGGUGAGCCAGUCCAAUAAGAGAUAGGGUCAUGGGCAUAAUUUUUAACAAAUGCAGGGGUGUUUAGGUAAAAAUGAAACGUUUUCCAGAGUGCCACUUAAAGAGGGACUGCGGGUUUAUUUCAAAGAAACAGAGGGACUGUUUUGCAAAAACGCUGACGACGUACGACCAGAAGCAAUCGCUGCUUUAUUAGUAUAUAUAUAUAUACUAGCAAAAAUGCCCGUGCGUUGCAACGGGUAUAAAAUAGAUCUGAGUGUUCAUGUGAUAUUCAAGAGUUUACCUGUCACGAUGAAUAAUAAAAUUUUCCAAUUAUAUUGGUUGUAAGACUCGUAAGAAUCCACUUUAUGAAGAUCUUAUUGUAUUCCAAAAGCUCGUAAUAUUUUUC